AGUAGAAGUCCAACCAUUAUAAGAAGGCAGCUCUCAGGCACUAUUGUGGGCAACUUGUGAUACAGAUGGAAGCCUGCAAUCUCCAGUCCUGCAAACUCCAUUUAUGGGAAGCCUCAUUGGUAAGUGACACCUGAACAAAGCCCUGAAUGAAGUGAAGCCCUGAAUAGUGAAAGAACUUUCCAGAGCAGGGAAGAAAAGAAUAAGGGGACAAGGCCUGAGUUGGGAGCACCUUGAGCAAAGAGGCUACUCUGGCUGGAGCUCGGAGAAUGAAGCAGAACAAGCCUUUGUAUGCCAACACAAACCAUAACAUGAAACUCACCUGGAAAGUAUGCUUGUCACAGUCAUAACAGAGAUCUUUUGGUGGAAUUCCCUGCCCUACCCACCGGAAUUAUUAGAGAAGAAGAGGAAUACAAGUUGUCUUCAAACAAGAGAUGAAUUUGACAAAUCAAGAUGAGAAAGCCCAUGUACAGUGAUGAACAAUGCACAGGACUGUUGCA